AGAACGAACGCUGGCGGCAUGCCUAAUACAUGCAAGUCGAACGAACUCUUUCGGAGUUAGUGGCGCACGGGUGCGUAACGCGUGGGAAUCUGCCCUUGGGUUCGGAAUAACAGUUGGAAACGACUGCUAAUACCGGAUGAUGACGAAAGUCCAAAGAUUUGUCGCCCAGGGAUGAGCCCGCGUAGGAUUAGCUAGUUGGUGAGGUAAAGGCUCACCAAGGCGACGAUCCUUAGCUGGUCUGAGAGGAUGAUCAGCCACACUGGGACUGACGACACGGCCCAGACU
rnacentral:rRNA from 1 species